GAUGAACGCUGGCGGCGUGCCUAAUACAUGCAAGUCGAACGCUUCACUUCGGUGAAGAGUGGCGAACGGGUGAGUAAUACAUAAGUAACCUGGCAUCUACAGGGGGAUAACUGAUGGAAACGUCAGCUAAGACCGCAUAGGUGUAGAGAUCGCAUGAACUCUAUAUGAAAAGUGCUACGGGACUGGUAGAUGACGGACUUAUGGCGCAUUAGCUGGCUGGUAGGGUAACGGCCUACCAAGGCGACGAUGCGUAGCCGACCUGAGAGGGUGACCGGCCACACUGGGACUGAGACACGGCCCAGACUCCUACGGGAGGCAGCAGUAGGGAAUUUUCGGCAAUGGGGGAAACCCUGACCGAGCAACGCCGCGUGAAGGAAGAAGUAAUUCGUUAUGUAAACUUCUGUCAUAGAGGAAGAACGGUGGAUAUAGGGAAUGAUAUCCAAGUGACGGUACUCUAUAAGAAAGCCACGGCUAACUACGUGCCAGCAGCCGCGGUAAUACGUAGGUGGCGAGCGUUAUCCGGAAUUAUUGGGCGUAAAGAGGGAGCAGGCGGCACUAAGGGUCUGUGGUGAAAGAUCGAAGCUUAACUUCGGUAAGCCAUGGAAACCGUAGAGCUAGAGUGUGUGAGAGGAUCGUGGAAUUCCAUGUGUAGCGGUGAAAUGCGUAGAUAUAUGGAGGAACACCAGUGGCGAAGGCGACGAUCUGGCGCAUAACUGACGCUCAGUCCCGAAAGCGUGGGGAGCAAAUAGG
rnacentral:rRNA from 1 species